rnacentral:antisense_RNA from 1 species
AGAUGGCGUCUCUCAUUAUGUUGCCCAGGCUGGUCUCAAACUCCUGGCCUCAAGUGCUGGGAUUCCAGGCAUGAGCCACCACGCCCGGCCAAGAUGUUCCUUUUCCUUGGAACUUGAUCAACAUAAAAUCCUG